AUGCAGAAAAGUGGCAGUGGUCUUUUCACCGAGCGUCUGUCUGGAGCAAUCUCUCUCUCUCUCUCACUCUCUCUCUCACUCUCAUUGUUGUUCAGGGUGGAGGCUGAAACUGGAUUUAACUGACUCCUAAAGAAAGUAAAGAGAACUGAAGGAGAGGAUAAGGUGUGUUGAUGAAGUGAAUGUAAAGAACAGAUCACCACAUUGAACAGAAAGCCGAUGUUGAAGUGGAAAAAUGGAUGAAUCUACAAACUCAACAUGAAUUUGCACAUUUCACACAGAGAUUUUUCGGGCAGUGGAAUUGGCCUAGUCUGCACCCCAAGCCUGACUCCAUAUUGCCGCCAGGUGUAGGCUGACUCCGGUAUGGACAACGAACUGGUCAGCACCAGAAACAGUCUUCCUUCACCGCAUUUGGUGAAGGAACAAAAACAGGCUCUGAUGGGUAGAGAUCUGGCUGGCACCAUACCUGGGCUGAUGUGGGUCACAGAGCCAGAGGACACCAAAUCACAAGCAGGUGCUUGGAGUGUGCAAAUACUGUGCUAUGCGCAUAAACUUCAUCUAGCUGGCCAAGGCAAAAUUAAUGCCCUCGCAUUGUUUCCUUUA